GCUGGAGGUGUGGGUACUGGAUUGGUUCUAAUUCUGGCUGGAUACUUGAGCCUUGGAGCCUUCAAGAAGAAGAAGAACUCCUAUCUUGCUCUGAUUCUUGAGACAGUAUGUAGCGGCGCACUCACGUGGGUGAUGGGACAGCGUUAUUUACAGACUUCAAAGAUCAUGCCGGCCGGAGUUGUAGCUGGAAUCAGUUCUCUCAUGACCUUAUUUUACCUGUACAAGCUUGCAACCGGCGGUAACCAUAUUUCUCCCAAGGCUGAGUGAUGAUUUCCAAUACUUUUUCUGAUAUUCGACAUGGGAAAUGCAUUGGAUCACACUACAAAGUCGAACAAUAUAUUAGUAUACAAACGAUUGUUGUUAUUGCUAACUUUGCAAAGGUUGGACGUGUAAACUAAAUGAUCAUUACUGAAUAUAAACUAGCUGGGGUUGAAAGUCUUAGAGUUCUCAUUUCAACGUGUUGUUGGCCGAGCUCUGAGCUGUUGCUCAAUGAGUCUACCCUUCUACAUGUGUACUUUCUUG
rnacentral:misc_RNA from 1 species